rnacentral:miRNA from 1 species
GUAUUGGGUUGGUGCAAAAGUAAUUGCAGUUUUUGAUGUUAGUUUCAAUGGUAAAAACCGCAAUUACUUUUGCACUGACCUAAUA